GUGCUUUGUCACCUGUCACGAGCUCCACCUACGUACAACUGCUUGGAAAACAACCACACCUCUAGGUGUUUUCCAUGUAACCACCCAUAGACUUUGUAUUGCAAGACCAACCACUAAAAGAUUGCCCAGUGACAGAAGUUGGGACUGUGCCCAUCUUUCUCGUUCACUGUGCCCAUCCCCGCCCUCUCUGCCAGCUCCACUUUUCAGCCUUGAAAACACAAGUUGAACCAUGAUAACCAAAUCCCUAAAAAGAUUCAAGAAGAGAUUUCUGUCAUUCAUUAAAGAAGGUAAGAAAGCACAAGUUAAAAUUGCUUCUGCUUGGAUGAACUGUUACAUGCCCUCUGCUUCACCGGCAUUCAAUUUUUCUCUGAAAAUCUCAUUAAGAUAAGUCUGAGGAAAGACAGUAUAUGCAUUAAUAUCACUGCAAACGUGACACUGCUUGUAACACAAGGAUGGCUGUGAUUGCAAGCUGCCGCUACCCUCGAUGUCUGAAGCUGUAACAGAUUGUCUGCUGUUCACUGACAGACAUACUGCGUUAAAGAAAGAAUCGCCCGUGAUCGACUACAAUGUUGUCAUGUUUUGGAAACUCCCAUUUUGUGGUAAUGGGACUGUGUAGAGCACGUGUGCAAAUACUGAAAGCAGAUCUUGACCAGGAACAAGAUCUGCGAUGUUUGCACAGAACGUCUAUACAGAGUAUUACUGUAAAGUGUGAGAGAUGCCAAAACAUGCCUCUUACGUUUGGAAGAAGCUGAGAUCGCAGCAGAUCGUGGCUCGAGAAGAUGCGUCCCACCUGGAUAACACCUGGACAAAUGUGAGUUUCUCCCAAAAAUAUCUCCAUAAAGUGACAAAGACACUUUUUGUGGAACCAAAUGGCUCCAGGAACGAUUGAAGAAAGGUGACCCUAAGUACACUUAAUAUAAAUGACUGGCGUCAGAAACACACAAAGCAUCAUAUUCAGUGGU